rnacentral:rRNA from 1 species
AGCUUGCCUAGAUGAAUUUGGUGCUUGCACCAAAUGAAACUAGAUACAAGCGAGCGGCGGACGGGUGAGUAACACGUGGGUAACCUGCCCAAGAGACUGGGAUAACACCUGGAAACAGAUGCUAAUACCGGAUAACAACACUAGACGCAUGUCUAGAGCUUAAAAGAUGGUUCUGCUAUCACUCUUGGAUGGACCUGCGGUGCAUUAGCUAGUUGGUAAGGUAACGGCUUACCAAGGCAAUGAUGCAUAGCCGAGUUGAGAGACUGAUCGGCCACAUUGGGACUGAGACACGGCCCAAACUCCUACGGGAGGCAGCAGUAGGGAAUCUUCCACAAUGGACGCAAGUCUGAUGGAGCAACGCCGCGUGAGUGAAGAAGGGUUUCGGCUCGUAAAGCUCUGUUGGUAGUGAAGAAAGAUAGAGGUAGUAACUGGCCUUUAUUUGACGGUAAUUACUUAGAAAGUCACGGCUAACUACGUGCCAGCAGCCGCGGUAAUACGUAGGUGGCAAGCGUUGUCCGGAUUUAUUGGGCGUAAAGCGAGUGCAGGCGGUUCAAUAAG